rnacentral:rRNA from 1 species
CUGCCCUGCACUCUGGGAUAAGCCUGGGAAACUGGGUCUAAUACUGGAUAGGACCUUUCUCCUCAUGGGGUUUGGUGGAAAGUUUUCGGUGCAGGAUGAGCCCGCGGCCUAUCAGCUUGUUGGUGGGGUAAUGGCCUACCAAGGCGACGACGGGUAGCCGGCCUGAGAGGGUGAUCGGCCACAUUGGGACUGAGAUACGGCCCAGACUCCUACGGGAGGCAGCAGCC